GAAGACGAUAACAGUGGGAAAAGUGGAAGGAUUCAGGAAAGAUGGAGACUGCAUUACAGGUGGAUUAAUUCCACCAAGAAAGCCGUAUUUGCAUGAACUGGAAGUCUCUUAUUUAUAGCAUCAACAUAGGUCGGACCUAUGCCUGGGACUAAUGUAGGGACUAAUGUAAGUGGUGGACUCCAUCACUUCCAACGAGUUAAGAGAUAAGGAAUCCUUACGAGAUGGAAGGAUUCAUUCUUAUUUAUCUCUAAGAGGGUUUCCAACAAGAAAAUGAUCCCAUCAGAAGGAAUUCUAGAACUUCAGGGUAUUUACACAAUUUCUCUCCACCCUGAAGUGUUGUGUAGAAAAAAUGCACAGGCUUUAUGUUUCUGCCUAAAAUUCCAUUUUAUGCAGAAAAAGAAAUCCUAUGCAAAAAUCCACAGAAAAUACUGCAACGUUAUGCCUCUGCUGUGUGUCCAGAAUUCAGGGCGAAUAUUGUGAUGGAAUAUUAUUUUUUCUCCUGAAGUUUGGUGAAAACGGCGGUAUUCUCUUCUUAUCUCGACAGCCUGGAUUUAAAAACCAUACACAGGUGUCAGAAAUACUUGUUUCCUUGCCUGCUUGUUUUGCAGGAAGAAACUGGAAGGAAAGUCGUAGACGAUAAAGGAAGAAUGACUUCCGGAAAAAAAAAACCCUCAAAGAACAAGAGCAAGGGGUUAGGGAGCUAUAAUGCUCGGAAACCAGUCUUAAGACUUUUAAGAUAGUGGAGUGCGGUGGCAUUAGAAGAAUAGCCGUCUCGCGAGGGAGGAAAGGGGAAGAUUAAAGAAGAUUAAAGUUGUUAAAGAAAGCCACCAAAACAGAAUGUGACCUCCUCACCCGACUAAAUCCGAAAAUCAAAAGCGUUUCUUCAGUCUCUGUCUGGCCCCUGUCUUAUUCUUUCUGAACAACAAAAGCAGAGGAAGCCGGAGUCAUGGGUUUGAUGGAAAUCGCAAUCCCUCCCUCGGUUGCAAAGCUUCUGAUGAAAUGUGCUCCGGGAUUAGUGGACCUGUCAGUCACGCCAACCCACUCCUCACCUGGACCCGAAAAGAUAUCUUGAUUGUCCUCUUUCUAAAUCUCCUGCCUCCCUUUAUACAAGGAUAUGGGCAAGUUGGAGUAAGUUCCGAGGAGGGCAACGAGGAUGAUGAGAACAAUAAUGAUGAUAGUAGUAACAACAACAACAACAACAAAAAUAAUUGUUGUAUGAUGUGGCUUCCAUCAGUUUUAGGUAAACUUUCCAGAAACCUUAUAUAGUAUUGGAAGGUUAAUAAGUAUUGGAUAACUGUAAUAUAUAUUCACUACAACUCUGGAGAGCUGGGUUCGAAUUUCUGCUCAGCAGUGGAAACGCAUUGGGAGUCCUUGUGAGAGUCACACUGUCUCAGCUUCACGGCAUGUUUACCUUGAAUUUUCCGUAAGUCGGAAGCAACUUUGAAGGCACACAACAACAAAACAUGCACAUCGAAAGCAAGAAAGUUACUUCUUCUCAGAAAAAAAGACCAAAGAUGUCAUAUACACACCAAUAUAUAUAUAUUUGUACCGACCAGAAAGCACGCCGAGCAGCAUUCGGCAGCCGGAGAGAUUGAUGGAUGUGGAAAAGAGUAAAAACCACUCCAAGCAAAUGUAAAGAAAUCCACAACACGAACCGUGCGGUGCGCCUGCCUUUAUUUAUGGGACAAUCGCCAUGAUUUAGCAGCAAUCAUCAGGAAUAUAUUUAUCCCGCCCGAAAUCCCCGGCCGUAUUUCAAAAGCCGCUCACCCCCGGUGCCGAAGUUCCUCUGUCGCUUGUCCUUGUCACUCGGCUUUCUCCAUUUUUCUUUCGCUCAUUGUGGAGAACGUCAAGCCAUCGGGGUUGUAUCAGGAGGAGGCAUUGCAUUGCCCUGUACAAAAUGCAAUGCAAAUAGAAUUAAAAACCUAUUUGUACAUUAUUGCCAUUAUUUAUUUUUAUUUACAGUAUUUAUAUUCCGCCCUUCUUUCUCACCCCGAAGGGGACUCAGGGCGGAUCACAAUGCACAUAGACAUGGCUGACAUUCAGUGCCAUAUGACAUGUGACACAGGGGCAAUUUAACAUUUUCCAGCUUCUGGCUUCAUGAGGGUAUGCUCAAUUCCAGCCACAGGGGGAGCUGUCAUUUCAUCAUCUACUUGUGAGACCGAGUCCUUGAUGGAGUACUUCCUCAUUCCUUUCCGCACGCUGCUGGAUGUUUUGAUGGUGUCGUAAAUUAGUUAAAUUAGCCUCCCCUCAUAAAGCGGUACCUAAAUUUCCUACUUGACAGAUGGACUCCCUUCUUCAUCUCCCUGUGGUUCCAAGGUAGUCAUCCUCCUGAAUUUGCACGCCUCCUCCCUGCAAGGAAAGCCAACGGCUCUGAGCUUUCUAAGAUCUUCAGAUCUGGUAUAUAAACCCUGCAAUUAGUGUCGGCUCAGGGCAGCCGUCCCUCCCUCUCUCUCGGCCGAGGGAGAUUGCGCACAGCCCAAGGCCUGGGUAUCAACCGCGGGGAUCUCCGAGCGAGAAGAAAAAUGCUUUUUCUCCC
ensembl:lncRNA